rnacentral:tmRNA from 1 species
CCCCUUCCAACCGACCGCUUCAGUGCCUAUAGUCAGAGCGUCGGGCUUCGGCCCGACUAUGGCGCUAAACGGCGCGUGGAAUAGGCGUUGCGGACCCGGGGGCGGUACCCGGCGCCUCCACCACUCCCGUGCGGCACGCGAACUCCCUCCGGAGGACGCUCUGCCGGGCGGCUCGCGCAAGCGAGAACGCGGGGGCGAAAUAGGAUCGACGCGCGUGUUAAAGGCGCGCUCUGCGCUCGGCAUGGUACCGCCGUUAUCGGGCCAAACCUGAAGUGCGAACGACAACGUCGCACCCGCUGAGGAGGUCCGUCUCGCUGCCUAACGGCAGCUUGACACCGAGCUCUUAAGCGCGGCACGGGGGGCGCCGGGCAACAGAAGCCCCCCACU